rnacentral:rRNA from 1 species
GAUUAAGUUAUUAAGGGCGCACGGUGGAUGCCUUGGCACUAGAAGCCGAUGAAGGACGUUACUAACGACGAUAUGCUUUGGGGAGCUGUAAGUAAGCUUUGAUCCAGAGAUUUCCGAAUGGGGAAACCCAGCAUGAGUUAUGUCAUGUUAUCGAUAUGUGAAUACAUAGCAUAUCAGAAGGCACACCCGGAGAACUGAAACAUCUUAGUACCCGGAGGAAGAGAAAGAAAAUUCGAUUCCCUUAGUAGCGGCGAGCGAAACGGGAAGAGCCCAAACCAACAAGCUUGCUUGUUGGGGUUGUAGGACACUCUAUACGGAGUUACAAAGGACGACAUUAGACGAAUCAUCUGGAAAGAUGAAUCAAAGAAGGUAAUAAUCCUGUAGUCGAAAAUGUUGUCUCUCUUGAGUGGAUCCUGAGUACGACGGAGCACGUGAAAUUCCGUCGGAAUCUGGGAGGACCAUCUCCUAAGGCUAAAUACUCUCUAGUGACCGAUAGUGAACCAGUACCGUGAGGGAAAGGUGAAAAGCACCCCGGAAGGGGAGUGAAAUAGAACCUGAAACCGUGUGCUUACAAGUAGUCAGAGCCCGUUAAUGGGUGAUGGCGUGCCUUUUGUAGAAUGAACCGGCGAGUUACGAUUUGAUGCAAGGUUAAGCAGUAAAUGUGGAGCCGUAGCGAAAGCGAGUCUGAAUAGGGCGUUUAGUAUUUGGUCGUAGACCCGAAACCAGGUGAUC